UUUUACGGAGAGUUUGAUCCUGGCUCAGGACGAACGCUGGCGGCGUGCUUAACACAUGCAAGUCGAACGAUGAUGCCCAGCUUGCUGGGUGGAUUAGUGGCGAACGGGUGAGUAACACGUGAGUAACCUGCCCCUGACUCUGGGAUAAGCGUUGGAAACGACGUCUAAUACUGGAUACGACUGCCGGCCGCAUGGUCUGGUGGUGGAAAGAUUUUUUGGUUGGGGAUGGACUCGCGGCCUAUCAGCUUGUUGGUGAGGUAAUGGCUCACCAAGGCGACGACGGGUAGCCGGCCUGAGAGGGUGACCGGCCACACUGGGACUGAGACACGGCCCAGACUCCUACGGGAGGCAGCAGUGGGGAAUAUUGCACAAUGGGCGAAAGCCUGAUGCAGCAACGCCGCGUGAGGGAUGACGGCCUUCGGGUUGUAAACCUCUUUUAGUAGGGAAGAAGCGAAAGUGACGGUACCUGCAGAAAAAGCACCGGCUAACUACGUGCCAGCAGCCGCGGUAAUACGUAGGGUGCAAGCGUUGUCCGGAAUUAUUGGGCGUAAAGAGCUCGUAGGCGGUUUGUCGCGUCUGCUGUGAAAUCCCGAGGCUCAACCUCGGGCUUGCAGUGGGUACGGGCAGACUAGAGUGCGGUAGGGGAGAUUGGAAUUCCUGGUGUAGCGGUGGAAUGCGCAGAUAUCAGGAGGAACACCGAUGGCGAAGGCAGAUCUCUGGGCCGUAACUGACGCUGAGGAGCGAAAGCGUGGGGAGCGAACAGGAUUAGAUACCCUGGUAGUCCACGCCGUAAACGUUGGGCGCUAGAUGUAGGGACCUUUCCACGGUUUCUGUGUCGUAGCUAACGCAUUAAGCGCCCCGCCUGGGGAGUACGGCCGCAAGGCUAAAACUCAAAGGAAUUGACGGGGGCCCGCACAAGCGGCGGAGCAUGCGGAUUAAUUCGAUGCAACGCGAAGAACCUUACCAAGGCUUGACAUACACCGGAAACGGCCAGAGAUGGUCGCCCCCUUGUGGUCGGUGUACAGGUGGUGCAUGGUUGUCGUCAGCUCGUGUCGUGAGAUGUUGGGUUAAGUCCCGCAACGAGCGCAACCCUCGUUCUAUGUUGCCAGCGCGUUAUGGCGGGGACUCAUAGGAGACUGCCGGGGUCAACUCGGAGGAAGGUGGGGAUGACGUCAAAUCAUCAUGCCCCUUAUGUCUUGGGCUUCACGCAUGCUACAAUGGCCGGUACAAAGGGCUGCGAUACCGUAAGGUGGAGCGAAUCCCAAAAAGCCGGUCUCAGUUCGGAUUGAGGUCUGCAACUCGACCUCAUGAAGUCGGAGUCGCUAGUAAUCGCAGAUCAGCAACGCUGCGGUGAAUACGUUCCCGGGCCUUGUACACACCGCCCGUCAAGUCAUGAAAGUCGGUAACACCCGAAGCCGGUGGCCUAACCCUUGUGGAAGGAGCCGUCGAAGGUGGGAUCGGUGAUUAGGACUAAGUCGUAACAAGGUAGCCGUACCGGAAGGUGCGGCUGGAUCACCUCCUUUCUAAGGA
rnacentral:rRNA from 1 species